GACGAUCGCAACAGGUAACCGUUAUUGUAGCUCGCUUGACUGCUCCUUUGCUUAUUUGCUAACACACCUGUGUCACGCGACGUGGUAAUUAAGCCACCAUCGGCGCCUCCUCUUGGUCGUCGUUUUAUCAAGAUUGAAAACACGUUUGCGGUCUUUCCCUUUCUGCUACGCAACCAAGAUGGCGACUGACGACGGAGAGAGGUGUCCAUCGUUUUACACUUUUCUGUUUUUUUGACCGUUUUGAGCGCAACAUCCGGGCAAUUACAGUGAACUGCAUGUUGAGUUUGCAGAGUCCCUCUGAAAUGGGAUCUUUAUCUCCUUAUUCGAUGCAGUGCAUUUCCUUCUGAAACAUUUGAGGCAUCUUCAGGCACGACAUCAGUUUGAUUUGAGCAGACGAACAAAGUAGUGGGAUUUUUGAAAACUUUUGUAAUGGCCUAAUUGGUUGAAGUUCAUGUCGAGGCCUAACCUGUCCGGGAAGUGGCAGUGGACCAGGAAGUCAAAGUUUUCAUUCAGAAUAUCUCCUGAUAUAAAAGGAGUCGCAGGUCCCAAAUAAAAGCCCGCCUCCUUCCUUCACUCACCAGGAGAGAUCAUUUAAUCCAGGACGAGGAGUUGCAAGGAGUGCGAGGAUUUCCAGAACAUCACAUCUUCCCUUGGUUUGUGGAAUUAAAGUGGUGAAUAAUACAUGGCUGAAAGCACCCGUCAUCUCUCUGAGCUGCAUCUUCUCUUGGACACCGGGGGGAUUUGG